UGCCAGCAGCCGCGGUAAUACAGAGACUCCAAGCGUUAUUCGGAUUCACUGGGCGUAAAGGGAGCGCAGGCGGUCAAAUAUGUCGGAGGUGAAAUCCUGCAGCUCAACUGUAGAAUUGCCUUCGAAACUAUUUGACUAGAGUAUCGGAGAGGUAAGCGGAAUUCCAGGUGUAGCAGUGAAAUGCGUAGAUAUCUGGAGGAACACCGAAGGCGAAGGCAGCUUACUGGACGAUUACUGACGCUCAGGCUCGAAAGCAUGGGGAGCGAAAGGGAUUAGAUA
rnacentral:rRNA from 1 species